AGGACGAACGCUGGCGGCGUGCCUAACACAUGCAAGUCGAACGGGACCAGGGGCAACUCUGGUUCAGUGGCGGACGGGUGCGUAACACGUGAGGAACAUGACUUUCGGCGGGGGAUAGCCGGCCCAACGGCCGGGUAAUACCGCGUACGACCUCUCGGGGACAUCCCCGGUUGGUGAAAGCAGCAAUGCACCGAAAGAGUGCCUCGCGGCCUAUCAGCUAGUUGGUGAGGUAAUGGCUCACCAAGGCGACGACGGGUAGC
rnacentral:rRNA from 1 species